AGACCCUUCCCAUUUAGUAGAAACAUCUUUCUCAAGAAAACCGAUAGUACCUUGGAGUUACACAGUCCUUUUCCGACAAACUUUCAGAAUCCAGUAAGUGAGAACACACCAUCACCUCUAAAGUAUAAGUCUUACCAAAAAUAUCAAACCCUAAUUUGCUCAUGCCUCCAGUUUCAACUACCAAUUUACAAGAAAUACAGGGGACAAGGAAACAUAUUAACCAAACCAUAAGGGACACAUUCAGCAAAAUCCAAACUGUGGGAAAUUAUACUAGGAAAAAUAACUCAAUUUCUUUGAAUCUUAAAUUACAAUGUGGAGGAACACUUAUUAAAUAAAAAGAGACUUUAAAAAUACAUCAGCCACUUGCAAAGUGUGGACCUUCUGUGAAAGGUUUUUGAAUCUUUUGAGGGGAAAAAAACAUGACAGAUCCUGAAGGCUGCCCAGCACACCCUGAACCUGCAGGAC
rnacentral:lncRNA from 1 species